rnacentral:rRNA from 1 species
ACGCCCUAAACGAUGAAUGCUAGGUGUAGGGGGCUUAAGCCUUCUGUGCCGCAGCUAACGCAAUAAGCAUUCCACCUGGGGAGUACGGCCGCAUGGUUGAAACUCAAAGGAAUUGACGGGAGCCCGCACAAGCAGUGGAGUAUGUGGUUUAAUUCGACGCAACGCGAAAAACCUUACCAAGGAUUGACAUCCACGGAAUCCGGCGUAAUGGCCGGAGUGCCUCUUCGGAGGAAUCGUGAGACAGGUGGUGCAUGGUUGUCGUCAGCUCGUGUCGUGAGAUGUUGGGUUAAGUCCCGCAACGAGCGCAACCCUUACUGUUAGUUGCUACGCAAGAGCACUCUGGCAGGACUGCCGUUGACAAAACGGAGGAAGGUGGGGACGACGUCAAAUCAUCAUGCCCCUUAUAUCUUGGGCUACACACGUACUACAAUGGCGCAAACAAAGGGAAGCGAAGCCGCGAGGCGGAGCAAAACCCAUAAAAGGCGCCCCAGUUCAGACUGCAGGCUGCAACUCGCCUGCACGAAGUUGGAAUUGCUAGUAAUCGCGGAUCAGCAUGCCGCGGUGAAUACGUUCCCGGGCUUUGUACACACCGCCCGUCAAACCAUGAAAGUUGAAAACACCCGAAGCCGAUGGGCUAACCGCAAGGAGGCAGUCGUCGAAGGUGGGUUCAAUGAUUGGGGUU